rnacentral:misc_RNA from 1 species
GAUGAAGAACGCAGCGAAAUGCGAUAAGUAAUGUGAAUUGCAGAAUUCAGUGAAUCAUCGAAUCCUUGAACGCACCUUGCGCUCCUUGGUAUUCCGAGUAGCAUGCCUGUUUGAGUGUCAUGAAAUUCUCAACCUUUUCAGCUUUCUUUGUUGAUCAGGCUUGGAUGUGGGAGUAUGCGGGCUUCUCAGAAGUCGGCUCUCCUGAAAUGCAUUAGCGGGACCUUUGUUGCCUGGCUUUGGUGUGAUAAUUAUCUACGCCAUUGUAGUCAAGCAGCUUAAAAUGAGGUUUCAGCUUCUAACCGUCUCCCCUGAGACAACUUUUUGACAAUUUGACCUCAAAUCAGGUAGGACUACCCGCUGAACUUAAGCAUAUCAAUAAGCGGAGGA